CCGCAGAUGUACUGGCGGAAGAAGGGGCUGGCGCGCGCCCCGUCCUUGAUGCGCGCGGCCAGGGGCUUCGAGAUCUGCCUGACGCCCAGGGUCACCCGGACCAUGUGAACACAAAUAUGAAAAGCGGCUGGUGGGAGCUGCAGGAGGAAACAGGGUCAAAACAAGAAUUAAAGGACUUUCCUUCUGUCUUCCCUUUCUCGGAUGCCACCUUCUCUGCUCAGCCUUCGGAGAAAACUUCAGAAAAGCUGGAUGGGAUUUACAGAGGGAGCAUGUGAAGAAUGGAGCAAAGGGGUAGCUUCCCCAAGAAGAUCAAACCCAUGAGACUUUCUCUUGAGAGGGUG